rnacentral:lncRNA from 10 species
CCCACAGUGAAUCCUGAGCUUGAAAACUUCAGUCAGGGCUGGGUGUGCCUUGGACGAGGUAUAACCUGCACAACUGCAUGAGGUGGUCUUGUUGUUGAGGUAAAUACAUAGAGGCUGGGUGUUAAAGGUGAGGCAAUGAUUAUUUAAAUGCAGAUGACGUGGCGGGAUGAUGUUUCCAGGGAAACAGGUCUCCUUGGAGAAGAGGCUGAUUUCAGGUCUGACACACGUCCAGAGUACUGAAAGUACGAGAUAAGCCUAAGAUAUCUUGGGCCAAAAACGCCAAGAAGUGCUCAAAGCUAAACAAGGACAAGUUCAAUGAAGACAGAAGCUGGUCUGAAGGGUUCCUGGCCAAUCUGUGAACGAUUUUAAAUAUCAGAAAGAAUGACAUCGAUGGAUUAAAACACAUGGAAUUAUGUGACCAGAAAAUGUUGGGGACCACGAAAGCAGCCACUGCAUUCACAGGAAAUUCCUAAUCUCAGAAGAAAUCGGACAAGAAAAUUAACAAACCUUCUACCAACAAGUGAGCAGUCAAAUGAACCUGGUAGUGCUGCC